GACAGCAUCAAGGACUUCUCUUAGAACCUCCAGAGCAGUGGCAGCCUUCUGCAGGAUACUGUUGUCCGGAACUUUUUGAGGCGCUGCUUGUGGGAAUUUCAUUUCACAUCUAGAAGAAACAUGGUCAUUGUCUCUUUGAUUAUUUCUAUUCUCAUUUGAGGGAGCAGGCGGUUCGGCGGAGACAAGAGAUCUUUGAGGAAACUCUACGCCUGCACUCACUAAUUCAUAAUAUGCGGAAUAAUACUGAGGGAACCUCCCAGAAGCUCCGCCAAGAGAAGUUUGUGCAGCAUCUAGAAGAAGAAAUAUCUUCUCUCGUACAGGUAGAUCUGACUUUUUCUUUACUAUCUUUACAAGUAUUGGAAGGAUUCCUGUAUCAAUAACCUGCUUAUGAACAGGUUCUCCGAUGUUGUUUAUCAACAUUUCCAGCAAGUUUACUGAGAAGAGUUGUGAGUUUGGGCUUUUACUUCCCAGCCGUUUCUUU
rnacentral:misc_RNA from 1 species